rnacentral:rRNA from 1 species
AUUGAACGCUGGCGGCAGGCCUAACACAUGCAAGUCGAAUGGUAACAGGAAACAGCUUGCUGUUUCGCUGACGAGUGGCGGACGGGUGAGUAAUGUCUGGGAAACUGCCUGAUGGAGGGGGAUAACUACUGGAAACGGUAGCUAAUACCGCAUAACGUCGCAAGACCAAAGAGGGGGACCUUCGGGCCUCUUGCCAUCAGAUGUUCCCAGAUGGGAUUAGCUAGUAGGUGGGGUAACGGCUCACCUAGGCGACGAUCCCUAGCUGGUCUGAGAGGAUGACCAGCCACACUGGGACUGAGACACGGUCCAGACUCCUACGGGAGGCAGCAGUGGGGAAUAUUGCACAAUGGGCGCAAGCCUGAUGCAGCCAUGCCGCGUGUAUGAAGAAGGCCUUCGGGUUGUAAAGUACUUUCAGCGGGGAGGAAGGGAGUAAAGUUAAUACCUUUGCUCAUUGACGUUACCCGCAGAAGAAGCACCGGCUAACUCCGUG